UACGGAGGGAGCUAGCGUUGUUCGGAAUUACUGGGCGUAAAGCGCGCGUAGGCGGCUUUGUAAGUUAGAGGUGAAAGCCCGGGGCUCAACUCCGGAACUGCCUUUAAGACUGCAUCGCUGGAAUCCGGGAGAGGUGAGUGGAAUUCCGAGUGUAGAGGUGAAAUUCGUAGAUAUUCGGAAGAACACCAGUGGCGAAGGCGGCAUCCUGGACCGACACUGACGCUGAGGCGCGAAAGCUAGGGUAGCAAACGGG
rnacentral:rRNA from 1 species